rnacentral:rRNA from 1 species
UACGUAGGGGGCUAGCGUUGUUCGGAAUUAUUGGGCGUAAAGCGCAUGUAGGCGGCUAUUUAAGUCAGGGGUGAAAUCCCAGAGCUCAACUCUGGAACUGCCUUUGAUACUGGGUAUCUAGAGUAUGGAAGAGGUGAGUGGAAUUCCGAGUGUAGAGGUGAAAUUCGUAGAUAUUCGGAGGAACACCAGUGGCGAAGGCGGCGAUCUGGGACAAUACUGACGCUGAGGUGCGAAAGCGUGGGGAGCAAACAGG